rnacentral:rRNA from 1 species
AUUGAACGCUGGCGGCAGGCCUAACACAUGCAAGUCGAGCGGAUGACGGGAGCUUGCUCCUUGAUUCAGCGGCGGACGGGUGAGUAAUGCCUAGGAAUCUGCCUGGUAGUGGGGGACAACGUGUCGAAAGGAACGCUAAUACCGCAUACGUCCUACGGGAGAAAGCAGGGGACCUUCGGGCCUUGCGCUAUCAGAUGAGCCUAGGUCGGAUUAGCUAGUAGGUGAGGUAAUGGCUCACCUAGGCGACGAUCCGUAACUGGUAUGAGAGGAUGAUCAGUCACACUGGAACUGAGACACGGUCCAGACUCCUACGGGAGGCAGCAGUGGGGAAUAUUGGACAAUGGGCGAAAGCCUGAUCCAGCCAUGCCGCGUGUGUGAAGAAGGUCUUCGGAUUGUAAAGCACUUUAAGUUGGGAGGAAGGGCAGUAAGCUAAUACCUUGCUGUUUUGACGUUACCGACAGAAUAAGCACCGGCUAACUCUGUGCCAGCCGCCGCCGUAAUAC